rnacentral:rRNA from 1 species
GACGAACGCUGGCGGCGUGCCUAAUACAUGCAAGUUGAGCGCUGAAGGUUGGUACUUGUACCAACUGGAUGAGCAGCGAACGGGUGAGUAACGCGUGGGGAAUCUGCCUUUGAGCGGGGGACAACAUUUGGAAACGAAUGCUAAUACCGCAUAAAAACUUUAAACACAAGUUUUAAGUUUGAAAGAUGCAAUUGCAUCACUCAAAGAUGAUCCCGCGUUGUAUUAGCUAGUUGGUGAGGUAAAGGCUCACCAAGGCGAUGAUACAUAGCCGACCUGAGAGGGGGAUCGGCCAAAUUGGGACGGAGACCAGGCCCAAACUCCUACGGGAGGCAGCAGUAGGGAAUCUUCGGCAAUGGACGAAAGUCUGACCGAGCAACGCCGCGUGGGUGAAGAAGGUUUUCGGAUCGUAAAACUCUGUUGGUAGAGAAGAACGUUGGUGAGAGUGGAAAGCUCAUCAAGUGACGGUAACUACCCAGAAAGGGACGGCUAACUACGUG